AGGAAAUAUUGUGCUAAUUUUGAUAUGUUGACAAUUAAAGACCAGUUUAUUUGGUUAAUGAGGCUUGUUUAGGGGGGGUAUCAAUAUCCCAUAUCCCAUUAAGUUUUUAUCCCAAUAUCCCGUAUCCCUAUAAUGUUUACCCCUAAUAUCCCAAUAAAUAUUUUUUACAAAUAUCCCAUAUCCCUAAAACUAUUUUGAAAUAUCCCAAAAAAUCAUUAUAAAUUCAUUCCCAAGCCCAUUCCCCCCCCCCUCAUCAUCACAACGUUAACAAUUUUGACUGGGAAAACAAACUGUGUUAAUGGAAAUUAACAGUGCAUACUUCCAGUGUUAAAUAAGAAUAUCUAUGUCCAAAAGAUGAAGUGUUCCAUCUUAGAGCCUUGUAUAACAAUCUCUUUUUAUGUGAUCUUAAACGAUAAAUUUAGUGUAAGGGGUCUAAUUUCAGACUUUGUUUUAAUUGUUCAAACCGUGAUGCAUAUGACUGUAAAAUUUCACUUUGAUAGCAUUCUUCUUUCAUUGAUAAGAAACUUCAUCCUACACGUUAACCUAUGUUGGAAAGAACAGAAGGACUCAACCAUGUUUCUUGUCCGAGAAUGCUCUGACAUCCAACGGCUGUUUUGCCAGACAAGCUGAGACUGUGGGACGUCAUAGCACGUCCAUUUCAAAAAGUGGAUAUUUAGCAUGCAAGUUCAAUAACUCAAAAUUUAACACAAGAAAGCUUUCUGCUAGUGUACCUACAUUACACUUAACUGUUGCAAUAUUUUUACAGCAGGCAAAAUUUGCAUAGUCCUUGUUUUGCAAAGAAAUAACACAACAUUUGACUCUGUGAUCUUGAAUUACAUAGAUCCCAAUAUUUUUGUUACUUUUUUUUUAAUUUCCUUCCUCACAACACCAGUAAUAGAAAGAAAAUAUCUUAAUUUACAUUGAUUAUUUAGUAAUUAUAACAUUAACGGUACCAAUUUUCCUGCACCAGAUGCGCAUUUCGACAAUACGUGUCUCUUCAGUGAUGCUCGUGGCCAAAAUAUUUGAAAUCCAAAGCUUAUAUAAAAGAUGAAGAGCUAUAAUCCAAAAGGUCCAAAAAGUAUAGGCAAAUCCGUGAAAGGAAUCAGAGCUUUGCAUGAGGGAGAUACAUUCCUUAAUUUAUAAUAGUUUAUAACAUUUUGUAACAGCAAAUUUUAAUAACACAAAAAAAUCUGUAUUUUCAUGCCAGUACCGAAGUACUGGUUACUGGGCUGGUGAUACCCUCGGGGACUAACAGUCCACCAGCAGAGGCAUCGACCCAGUGGUAGUAAUAACAUUAACGGUACCAAUUUUUCUGCACCAGAUGCGCAUUUCGUUGUUAACAUAGUUUAUACGGCGAAAUAUCUACUUUUUGAUAUGGGACGUGCUCUGCCGUCCCUCGGCCCCAGCUUGUCUGGCAAAACAGUCGUUGCACAUCAGAACAAUCUGUGAAACGUGGAGACCUCUGAAGAUCCUCGCCACGUAAAACACAAGAGGUAAAACACUAGAAAAUAUCCUGUAAACAUAUAAAGCAUCAAAACAAAUAAAAACAUUGACAACAAUAAGGCUUAACUCAUCAGAUGGAUACAUCUAUUAAACAAAAAACUAUAAUUAUUUCAAGAAAAUUAUCAAUGCAUAUGAGCAUAUGAUAUAAAAAAAAAAAAAAAAGAUGUGGUAUGAUUGCAAAUGAAACAACUCUUCACAAGAGACCAUGUGACACACAAAUUAACAACUAUAGGUCACUGUACGACCUUCAACAAUGAGCAAAGCUCAUACCGCAUAGUUAGCUAUAAAAGGUCCUGAAAUGACAAAUGUAGAACAAUUCAAAGGAGAAAACUAACGGCCUAAUUUAUGUAUAAAAAAAUAACAAAAAACAAAUAUGUAACACAGCAACAAACGACAACCACUGAAUUAAAGACUUCUGGCUUUGGACAGGCACAUACAUACAGAAUGUGGCGAGGUUAAACAUGUUAGCGGGACCCCAACCCUCCCCUUAACCUGGGACAGUGGUGUAACAGUACAACAUAAGAACGAACUAUACAAAUCAGUUGAAAAGGGAUUAACUCAUGAGAUGGAUACAAAUAGAAAUACAUCUAACAAAAACAGAGAGUGGACGUGACCGAGUACUUGUACAUCACAUCAACAAAAAGACACUAAGUAUAGAUCUGAGAGUACUCGCAAUUACUGACAGCUAGUUCAAAGCCAAUUACAACUAAUAAAAAGUAAUGCAUCUGAAACUAAAUUAUCAAUCAUUACACAUCCAGCAUCCAAUGGCACGGUAAACAACAUCUCCGUAAAAAUGAGGAUGUGCUAUCCCGUUUGAAAUAAGUUUUCUACACGUAGAACCAAACUUCAAAACCAAAUCUAGAAUUUAGUAAAGAUUUUAAGUGAUUUGUGGUAACGAAAUCCCUGACUUAAAAAUUUACCAGUAAUACAUAGAUUUCGUUCAUUAAAAUCAAAAACUUUACAACAGACAUGGGCGUAGCCGAGGUGUUGUCAUAUACAAAUACCGUAAGAUAGUGCCAAAGGAACAUCACCACCCAAAAAAGGAAAAUUAACAAUAAGGAACGAAGUAUGGAAAGCAAAACAAAUACUUUUAAAAUUAUCAGUACAUAUGAGCAUAUAAAUAUCGAAAAUAGAUCAAUACUUUUCGCUUGGGUUUGGAUGACUUUUAAAUAAAACGACCAUCAACUCAAUAGACCACUUUCGAGUUCAUCCGUCACCGGAAAAAACUCGUCAAUUAUACGCGCUUUUAUCACCGUCAUUUGUGCGUUUUGGGGCGUCGUCACUUCCCUUCCAAUGUUGAGCGAGUGGUUGGAAAACUAUAAUUCUAUAUUAUACGAAUUAUUCGGCAAAUUGAAUUCUCAAAAUUAACAAUCAACACUGCUGUCAUUAGGGAAUUGUCAGUAAGUACCUACAGAGCAACCAUUAUUUCUAGUUUAUCCUGCACAAAGACGAUCACUAAGACGCUUGAUGAACGUAAAUAGUGCAGGGAUACAGGCGACCCCCUCUAUCUGGUAAAUGACGUCGUAAAGGCGUGCAUAAUUGACGAGUUUUUGCCGGUGACGGAUGAACUCGAAAGUGGUCUAUUAAAUCAACAAAGCACUAAAAUGACCUUUAAUAUUAAACUUUUUGGGACAAUUUUAUCAAGUGAGAUGUACAUAUUUCUGUACUUAACUUUUAAAUUCCACUUAUUUUUUUUUUCAUGUUAAGAAUUCAAUAUCCUUAUAAAUGCAUCAAUAUCCCAUAUCCCAUUUACUUUUAGGACAAAUAUCCCAUAUCCCUAAAAUUAAAAUGGCAAAUAUCCCGUAUCCCAAUAUACCCUAUACAAGCCUCGUUAAUGAGUAAUGAGAACAAGGAUAUCUUGUAUGAAAUGUGUGAUUUUAUAAAACAAAAUGAAAAAUACUCAUGAUUCAUACCAUUGUUUGUGUAUUUUGUGUAUUCUCUUUUUUCUCUUAGAGCAUUGGGACAGGUUGUACUAAAGGCUGCAUCCAAAUCCAAAUAUUUUUACACAGAAAUUUUACACAAUAUAUUACUAUGUCCUUUAAGCACCUGCCCUUGGUGGCUCCUGUAUUUGGAUAACUACAUAUUAAUCUUAUUUAUGUGCUUCAGCCACAAGGAAGACUAUAAUAUAGUAAUUCUUUUUUAAGUAUAAGUUUAUGCU
rnacentral:lncRNA from 1 species